CUGUCAACAGUUAAGCUUACUGGCUUGAGUUGCUAUUAAGAUCCUACUCAUCAAUGUGGCCAGACGAUGGAUCAGUUAAAUCAGAAAA